rnacentral:lncRNA from 1 species
UUUCCGUUGUCCGUUGUCGAGGCUAGCACUGGGUGAAUUGAUCUCGAGCCAAGUAACGUCGCGACACGUUUAAUUCAUUAAUCGCGUUUGUUCAUCGCGGUGAUCCCUCGCAUAAGACAGGUUGUGUGAGUUAAUGAACGGUGACGACGCGAGAGAAGAAGUAGGAGACCCAGGAAGUAUCGGUCAGCAAAAAGAUGGACAGGUUGUGCGAGCCAGUUAAUAUAAUAGUAACGGAGUGACGAGAAAGGAGAAAUAGGAAGAGAAGAUUUGAGCGGCAUUGACCGACAGCGUAAACAGGUUGAAUGAGCGAGUUAGAAUGGCAAUGGGAAGACGAAAGAGGAGGAGGAGGAGAAGCCUGGAAAGUAUCAAGCGACAGC